rnacentral:piRNA from 1 species
UCUGACAGCCGUUCUAAUGAA